rnacentral:rRNA from 1 species
AGGGAAUCUUCCACAAUGGACGCAAGUCUGAUGGAGCAACGCCGCGUGAGUGAAGAAGGCUUUCGGGUCGUAAAACUCUGUUAUUGAAGAAGAACGUGCGUGACAGUAACUGGUCAUGCAGUGACGGUAUUCAAUCAGAAAGUCACGGCUAACUACGUGCCAGCAGCCGCGGUAAUACGUAGGUGGCAAGCGUUGUCCGGAUUUAUUGGGCGUAAAGCGAGUGCAGGCGGUCUUUUAAGUCUGAUGUGAAAGCCUUCGGCUUAACCGAAGAAGGGCAUCGGAAACUGGGAGACUUGAGUGCAGAAGAGGAGAGUGGAACUCCAUGUGUAGCGGUGAAAUGCGUAGAUAUAUGGAAGAACACCAGUGGCGAAGGCGGCUCUCUGGUCUGUAACUGACGCUGAGGCUCGAAAGCGUGGGUAGCAAACAGGAUUAGAUA